UUACUUUGGCAGAAAAUAUGCGUUAAAUUUAGAAUUUAAUUAUAUAGAUGUCUCUAUAAGUAAAAA
rnacentral:tRNA from 1 species